rnacentral:rRNA from 1 species
AACGUAGGGGACAAGCGUUAUCCGGAUUUACUGGGCGUAAAGCGCCCGUAGGCGGCCUGACAAGUUGGACGUGAAAGCUCCUGGCUUAACUGGGAGAGGCCGUUCAAAACUGUCAAGCUAGAGUCUGGAAGAGGAGAGCGGAAUUCCCGGUGUAGUGGUGGAAUGCGUAGAUAUCGGGAGGAACACCAGUGGCGAAGGCGACUUCCUGGCCUGUUCUUGACGCUGAGGCGCGAAAGCUAGGGUAGCAAACGGG